ACGAACGCUGGCGGCGUGCCUAACACAUGCAAGUCGAACGGAGAUAUUAGAAAUAGUAUCUUAGUGGCGGACGGGUGAGUAACGCGUGGGCAACCUACCUUUAGCCGGGGGAUAACACAGGGAAACUUGUGCUAAUACCGCAUAAAGUCACGAUAAGACAUCUUAAUGUGACCAAAGGAGAAAUCCGGAGAGAGAUGGGCCCGCGUCCGAUUAGCUUGUUGGAGGUGUAACGGACCACCAAGGCGACGAUCGGUAGCCGAACUGAGAGGUUGAACGGCCACAUUGGGACUGAGACACGGCCCAGACUCCUACGGGAGGCAGCAGUGGGGAAUAUUGCGCAAUGGGGGGAACCCUGACGCAGCAACGCCGCGUGAAGGAUGAAGGUUUUCGGAUUGUAAACUUCUUUGAUAGGGGAAGAAAAGGGACGGUACCCUAAGAACAAGCCACGGCUAACUACGU
rnacentral:rRNA from 1 species